UUAACAAAGGUUCUAGUUGGUGGGUUUACCUGACCCACAUUUUCUGGGGACUGCAGGAAACCUGAUUCAUCAAUGCAACUUGACGGUGUCAUUGCUGGGUUAAGUGAGAAAUCAGUGCCCGUAGUACUCAUGUAAUUUGAAGAAGAGAAUGGCAUAGUUGUGGAAUCACAAUCACUGCCAACGCCCCUAAGACUUGACAUUCCAUUCUGCAGUAGAAGAGAUGAAGGCUCUAUAUUGACACCAAAUAGAAGAUGGCUGUGUGGAUCAGUGCCAGUGCCACCUUCUUGGUCUAUCGAACACUCCCUACCAGGGAAGGGUGGUAAUGAAACAGAACUCUGAGAAAUGUUUGUCUGAUGAGCCCCCAACUGUUCCACUUGGGGCAGAACACAUUGCGGAGCUCCAGAAGAAACAACUCAUUUGAUCAACCUGCUUAGAUGGCCAGACAGAAGAAGUUAUCAAGGGACUGGUUCUAGGCAGGUUGAUCAAAUGAGUUGAUUCAUCCUGGGAAAAUGAACAAAUGAGACUUUGCAAAGGAGAAACAACAGAAUUUGUCACAGGGUUCCCAUUUGAAUCGGAGAAACUCUGCUGCUGGCAAAGGGAAGAGAUAGCUUGUAAUGGUGGUGACUGGGAUUGAGA
rnacentral:misc_RNA from 1 species